rnacentral:tRNA from 1 species
AGGGGCUGUGGCUCAGUGGUAAAGCAUCUUCUUGGCAUGCAGAAGGUUCCAGGUUCUAAUCCUGGAGUCUCCA